AGUCCUAGCUAUAAACGAUGGAUGCUAGGUGUGGGGUCGAGAAGACUCGUGCCGGAGCCAACGCGAUAAGCAUCCCGCCUGGGGACUACGGCCGCAAGGCUAAAACUCAAACGAAUUGACGGGGCCCCGCACAAGCAGCGGAGCGUGUGGUUCAAUUCGAUGCUACACGAAGAACCUUACCUGGGUUUGACAUGGAGGUGGUAGGGAAGCGAAAGCGGACCGACCCUUCGGGGAGCCUUCACAGGUGCUGCAUGGCUGUCGUCAGCUCGUGCCGUGAGGUGUCGGGUUAAGUCCCGUAACGAGCGCAACCCUUGCCCUUAGUUACAAGUGUCUAAGGGGACUGCCGGCGGUAAGCCGGAGGAAGGUGGGGAUGACGUCAAGUCAGCAUGGCCCUUAUAUCCAGGGCUACACACACGCUACAAUGGUCGGUACAAAGGGCAGCGAAGCCGCGAGGUGAAGCGAAUCCCAUCAAAGCCGAUCGUAGUUCGGAUUGCAGGCUGCAACUCGCCUGCAUGAAGCUGGAGUUGCUAGUAACCGCGCGUCAGCCAUAGUGCGGUGAAUACGUUCCCGGGGCUUGUACACACCGCCCGUCACGUCAUGGGAGUCGGUAACGCCUGAAGCCGGUGGCUCAACUCGCAAGAGGGAGUGCCGUCUAAGGCGGGGCUGGCAACUGGGACGAAGUCGUAACAAGGUAACCAAGGGCGAA
rnacentral:rRNA from 1 species